CGGGUCUAAAAAUAUUUAUUCCGAGAGGAAUAUCUGCUACCACGCGCAUCCCGAGAACAUUGAGGUCAAUAGCCAGAAUUUCCAACAGUGUUGGAAAUAAAAUUCAAAGGUACCACGCGAAACUAGCAAUACGAGGAGCCCAAAAAUGAUGUUAUUUCCAUAUGAAGCUCACCGGAGAACACCAUAUCGCAAGAACAAAAUUUUGCUCCGGCGAGGCGUGAUCACCGGCUACUGGCAAGGGAAACGACGGGGAAGGGCUGGUCUUGGGAUUUUUGUGGUCCGAGUGCUCGAAUCCUGCGUGAGGUUUCGGGAAAGGCACUGGUAGGAGGCUGCUUGAGUAGUAACAACGGAGGGAAAGUGAUUUCUCCCUCAAGCUCAUCGAUUUUUCGGUGAGAGGGAAUGGAAAGGGUGGCACCGACAAGAGGAAAAGGUGGGGAAAGUGAUUUAGUGGCUCAUUGGUGGUGUUGGCGGUAGAAAUGGAGGAAAUGGGUGGUGAUAGGUGAGGGAGGAAGAUAUAUGGGAAGAGAAGAAGAGGGG
rnacentral:lncRNA from 1 species